rnacentral:rRNA from 1 species
UGGGGAAUAUUGGACAAUGGGGGCAACCCUGAUCCAGCCAUGCCGCGUGAGUGAUGAAGGCCUUCGGGUUGUAAAGCUCUUUUGGCGGGGACGAUGAUGACGGUACCCGCAGAAUAAGCCCCGGCUAACUUCGUGCCAGCAGCCGCGGUAAGACGAAGGGGGCUAGCGUUGUUCGGAAUUACUGGGCGUAAAGCGAGUGUAGGCGGUUGCCGUAGUCAGGUGUGAAAGCCUUGAGCUCAACUCAAGAAAUGCACUUGAUACUGGGUGACUAGAGGACCGGAGAGGAUAGUGGAAUUCCCAGUGUAGUGGUGAAAUACGUAGAGAUUGGGAAGAACACCAGUGGCGAAGGCGGCUAUCUGGACGGUUACUGACGCUAAGACUCGAAAGCGUGGGGAGCAAACAGGAUUAGAUACCCUGGUAGUCCACGCCGUAAACGUGGGUGCUAGACGUUGGCGAGCUUGCCUCAGUGUCGCAGCUAACGCGUUAAGCA